GAUGGUUCAACAUUCACUUGGCAAGUUGCUUUUCUUUGAUGACAUCAACCUUCGUGAUUAUAUCAUCAUUAAUCCUGUUUUCCUGAUCGAAGUUCUUAGAUCAUUUAUAACAGACAAGCAGUUUUGGCCGAAAGAAGAAAAAUUGGAAAAGAUUUUCCGGUCUUUGCAAGACACAGGUAGAAUAGAAAGAAUGGCCAUGUAUGCAUUAUGGAAUCAAGAAGCAUUCAAACAUAUAGUACCGUAUAAAGAAUUUAUGAUCAACAUUUUAGUGUACCUGGACAUACUUGUUCCUCCACAAAAUCCCACUGAAGAUGAAUACCAUUUCUUUGUACCUUGUAUGAUAAAGAAGCAUGAUAACACAAAAUAUAUGACACGAAGAUGCAGCUCUAAUAAUUCUAUCAUCAUGGCGUACAGAUUUGUUGAAGAGGUGAUUCCUCCUGCACUGAUCUACCGUUUUCUUGCCUCGUUGGUUACUAUGUGGGUAAUAAAAACCUAUAAGGGGUCAAGCAUGGCAUUUUCCAACCUUGUAGUUGUUGAGGUAGACGGUAACCAUGAUGUAGCAGUCCAG
rnacentral:lncRNA from 1 species